CCCCUGGUGGACACUAGAGAGAAUGCAGCUUUAACACAUGAAGCAUCGGCUUCACUCGGCAGAGCCGGAGGUGAUUACACCUCGGUCACGUAUCGGGUUCCUAAUUUUGUCAUAAACAACCGAGUCUUAUGACCAUUUCUUGAAUUUGUCUGACAUCAUCAUUGCUUAUUAUUUUGUAAAUGACUCCUCUUCUUCAUCCUCGUGUGUUUGUUUUCUUCCUGGUUUCGCAUUCAGCUGCAUUGGAAACGUUUAUUCUCACAUCAGGACAUCACGCGUUAGACUUACUGCGUAGAGUCUGCUUUAAUGUCCGGUCCAAAUGAUUCAGUUGUUUGCGUCCUCCGGGUGAUUUCUUUAAUUAUUAUCUCAAGGUCGCAUGUGUGAAGGUGGCUCACGACAUGUCGCCCUCGAUCUGCCUCCGCAUCACCUUCCUCCUCUUCCUCCUCCGCAGUCAUCGACAGUCAAUGACGAGAUGUGAAGAGGUGAUGCAUCAUCCAGCUCUCUCCUCUCUCACCGUCGGCGUGAGAACGAGUCUCGUUAGCAUUCAUGUGUUGACUUCUACGCUCUCUCUCACACGUAGAGCGUCCUCCAUUAUUGAGCAGUUGUAAGCGCUUUGAAGUUCUGCUGUUUGGGGAGUUUUAUUAUCUUUUUUGGAGCUUGAACGAGGGGUCUUUAUGAAAAGACAGAAAGCUCAGCAGCUGUAUUGAUCAACACCAUUUUUCCAGAUUUUUCUCUUCAGAACAGUUUAUUUCUAAACACACGAUCAUAAUAAGGAGCCGCCGUCAGCUGUGCUGUGUUCGUUAAAACGGGGUCACGGUGACGGAGAAUCGAAUUGACUCGCGUCUCAUCAGUGUUUGACCUCGUGUGGCAAAAAGCUGCUUCAUCUGAUGCAUUUAACAGUGGGGCACACAUUCAGUCAUUUAAUGUGGCCAGAUAACGUUUAAACAGUUUCACAGCGGCAUCAGAACCAAAAUCAAAAACCAGAGUCUUGUUGAAGGUUUUAAUCAGGAUAAGAUGUUUCUGUAAAUGUCCCAUAUUAAACAGGAAGCAUCUGUUCAGUAAAUUGAUUAACUCAACACAGAGCAACACGAGCUGAGUGACUUCCACUGAUAUAUGACACAUGUAUGACAACAAUAAAGCACGUGAAAGUGUGUUGGGAUUACUUGUUGUGAAACAUGAAGCACAAUUGUUCGUGACUCUGACUUUCAGGAUUAUCUUCUCAGCCUUCGAUGAUGCAGCCUCACAUGCAGCUGAUGCGCAUUCAGAGCAGCUUAGAAUAAGCUUUAAAUCAGGAUCACCGACAUUAUAGGCAACAAAUACAGAAGGUUAAAGCUGCAUCACCGAAGGAAGACGACACAUGAAUGUGUGUCACGGAUGUGUGACGAGGACUGGAAACGGCGUUCGGAGGCGGUUGACUUUCACGUAUAAAAUGUCCAUUAAAUCCCGAUAUUCCGGUAAUCUUCGGCACCACUGGGUCCACAGAGCAUGCUCACUAGCGUCUCCUUUAGCCCUCGGCCCAGCCUCGUCCUCAGGAAAUUACUCUGGAUUCAGCUAUUAAUGAAUUUUAACAUUUGUAGGACCUAAUGAUUUAAAUAAGGGCAUUUACAAGUGUUACUAAUCAGAAGUUGAUUUACUUAAAAUAUUGCAAUUAUCCACUGAGUUACAGACGUCUUCUUCUCAAUAUACGUCUGUGGGAAAAAGUGUUUGUGGUGAUGAACCUGGAGGUUGUAGUUCCAUCGUUUGGCAGUAAUAUAAACGUCGGUGUUCUUGGAUGGUGGUCUUCUUGGGGGCUUGACGUGUUUCCUCUGAAUGUUGAUGUACAAUAGAGAAAUAUAACGUUCAGAAUAAAUGUCUUACCGUUGGAGUUAUUUUUAAUUUCCUUCCUACAGUGAGAGUCUGACCGAGAGGCCGACAGCCGAGAGACGUCCGACUGCAUGAAGAGUGCCGGGACCCUGGUCCUCACGCUCACCACUGCCUGGACAUGAGGCUCCAGCCCUCUUAAGUACAUGUCAUACAUGCUAAUGAGGUCGUUCCGAUCAUUUGCGAACGAUGACCGUCACGUCAUGGCCAAGCACACCGGCAUCUACCCGGCGCCGGAGGAGCUGGAGGCCGUGCAGACGCUGGUGUCCACCGUGGAGGGAGCCCUCAAGAAGGUCUCCGACUGGAUGGACGGCCUCAACGAGUCCUCGGGGAAGACCUCCGCCAACGACGACGAGGCCGGGGACAAGAAGGUGGAGGAGGACGCUGCUGAGACAAAGCCCGACCGGACGCCGGCGCUGUGCGGGGUGACGCGCGUCGGCCUGGUGGCCAAAGGCCUGCUGAUCAAAGGGGACUUGGACCUGGAGCUGGUUCUGAUGUGCAGAGAGAAACCCACCAAGCUGCUGCUCUACACCGUCAGCGCCAACCUCCCGCUGCAGAUCCAGACGAUGACGGAGGACAAAUACGAGGUGCAGUCGUGCGUCCCCGAGGCGUCCAUCCGGGUCUGCAGCACCAAAGACCCCCGACUCACUCUGAAGAUCACCCUCUCCUCCCUAACCAUGAGGGAGGAACGCGGCACCACGGAGGAAGAGGAGGGCCGUCGGGACGAGGACAAGGAAGAAGAGGAGGUGGACAAGGAGGAAGAGGAGGACGUCCUGGACAGGAAGAAGUGCCGGGCGGCGCUGGCGGCGCUCCGACACGCCAAAUGGUUCCAGGCCAGAGUCACAGACCUCAAGUCUUGCGUCAUCGUCUUGAGGAUUUUCAGGGACGUGUGCAACAGACUGGCCGAGUGGCAGCCUCUCAAAGGAUGGCCUCUGGAGCUGAUCUGUGAGAAGGCCAUCGCCACCUGUAACCGUCCGCUGGGUCCCGGUGAGGCCCUGCGUCGCAUCAUGGAGUGCAUCGCCUCGGGGAUCCUGCUGCCAGGAGGUCCAGGAGUUCACGACCCCUGUGAGAGGGAACCCACCGACGUCCUGUCCGACCUCGGUGCCCGGCAGGCCGACGCCAUCACGCACAGCGCGCAGCAUGCGUUACGCCUCCUAGCCUUUGGACAGCUCUACAAGGUCUUGAAUAUGGAUCCUCUUCCCUCCAGCAAGCCCUCACCGAGGCUGUUAGAAGGCGGCUGUCAGAAGAGGCAUCGGGAGGACAUCGGGUCGGAUGACAGAGACUUCAUCAAAAGGAUGAAAGUCCUGGACUGGAGGAUGACGGAUCCGAACCACCCCAUGAACGCUCUGAUGCGUCUGAACCAGAUCCACCCGGGCCUGCAGUACCGCCUGCUGUCCCAGUCCGGCCCGGUCCACGCUCCGGUCUUCACCAUGUCCGUGGAGAUCCAGGGAACCAGCUACCACGCCACCGGGAACUCCAAGAGGACCGCCAAGCUGCAGGUGGCCCUCAAGGCGCUGCAAGCUCUGGGCUUCGUACUCGGAGCCGACGGAGACAUGGACUCGCUGAGCGCCGACGAGAAGUCAGACGGAGAGGGCAAGAACGACAGGCUGUCCACCAGCUCCAGCUCCACCUCCAUCACCUCCUCCACAGACAUACAGGAGUCCAGAGCUCCAGGUCCGAUCCUGACGGCCGGCGGUAAAAACCCGGUGAUGGAGCUCAACGAGAAACGCCGCGGCCUCAAAUACGAGCUGAUAUCAGAGAGCGGCAGCAGCUACGACAAGCGCUUCAUCAUCGAGGUGGAGGUGGACAAGCAGGUUUUUCGGGGAACGGGUCCCAAUAAGAAAGUUGCCAAAGCCAGCGCAGCUCUCUCGGCCCUGAACAGCCUGUUCUCCGGCUCCAAGUCUACGAGCAGCAAGAAGAAGAGACCCAACCCUCUUCCAAAGCGGCCAGUAGCCUCGGUGUUGACCCUCCCGGCUCUCACAGCUAGACCUCCACGAGUCCCCGUCAUCCCCAGAGCUCCCUACAUCAGCACCGUCCCCACACAUGGAUACCUCCCCCAGGGUUUCGGUGCUCCUUACGGUUACAGCCCUGCAGGAGCCCUCCCUCCCUACGGUUUUCCCUCCAGAAUGCCCUCAGUAGUUGUCCCAGUCAUCAGAGUCCCUACACCAUACCCCGUCACCCAACUAUACCCCUAUUAGGACCCUCACCUCACCCCCCCACAGGAAGUCAGUUAUCCCCUUUCUUUUACUUCAUGUUCAAGACACAAGCUUCAAACACCCAAAAAACGUUCCGUCAUUAGCAACCAGCUUGAAACAAAUUGUGUGUCAGAACACAGAGUUUGACACAUGAGCUCUUUGAUAGAUGGGCAAGGUUCCACACUGUAGGGAACUAAAUGAACAUUCGCUAUAGGGAACUAAUUAAUCCCCCACCAUAGAAAACAACAGCUAAACACCGAAGUAAACAAACUAAAUAAACAGUAGUUGUAUGGACCUAAUAAAAAUAAUAAGCCACUCAUGGAAACAAUCCAAAGAAAAUCAAAAACAUGCUAAUAAAUAUCUGAUGUAGGAACCAAACAUCCUCUGUUAGGAACUACAGAAGUAAGUAAGUUCCCUACAGCAUGAAGAACCAUCUUAAGUAUUCACUACAGCGAGGAAAAGAACAACUGGUCACCAAGUUCAAAGUCAGAAAGUAAAUUAAUAUCUACAAAAGAUAUCAACUGCUAUUUAUUUAGUUUAUUUUUGUUCCUUUUUCUUAAAGUUCCCUACAGUAGCUGACUAAAUAUUCACUGCAGGGAACUUAAAUAGCAUCAACUGCAGCAACAAAGUAGCCAACUUAGGGAACUAAAAAUAUUUGUUUUGGGAACUAAAAUAACACCGACCGACCAUACACAGACUACUAAAUACAUCAUGUUGAAAACCAGGGAACUAAAUAAAUAAACUGCAAAGAGCUAAACAUCUAAAUUAUUAACCAACUAAACAUCAAUGGUAUGAAAGUAAACAGUGACUGUAGGGAACAAACAAUAAACGCCCGCUAUGUACCAACAACUACAAAGUAGGGAACCAAACGUCUUCUGUGUGUGAACUAACCCAACAACCACUGAAGGGAACUAAAGAAAACCCCUGACUACUAAAGUUAGAGAGCUGAAUAAACAUCUGCUGUAGGGAACUAAGUGACACCAGAUACGCAGAUAAAGACUGCUAACAUGCAGACUUCAGAAAGCUUAUUUUUAAACGGGGUUACUGUUCCUUUAACUGUCCCUCAUGGAUGUGAACUCUGUCUUGUAUUUAAAUUUCUCUCUGUUUUCUAAUAUUUUAAGUUUACAAUAAUCGUUUGCACUGAGGAACGUUUUCCUUUUGUUGGAUGUUUACAGUUGCUGUUGUUGAGUAUUUGAACACUUUCUCUUCAGAGAGAGAUUUUAUUCUGACCUGUUUGUAGGUUAUAUUCUGUUUGAAUAAAUUAAUAUUUUUGUCAGCAGCUGAGUAGCUUGUGGUUCGUAAAGGUUUCAUCCAGAUGUGAUUUGCAGUUACUUCAUUUUCAAAAAGGAAUUACUGUAUAUGGCCUGCAGCACUAUACAUCAAAGAAUAGUGUUUUACAUUACUAACCUGUCUGUGCUGUUUGAUUUGUAUAAUUUGAACAUAAAUUAACUUCACUCCUGAUACUUAACUCGGUAUCAUACAUCCUCAUGUGUCCACUCUGAGAGGAGAAUUCUGUGCUAUUAAAACUUAUUUUCAAUGCUUUUGGACAUUAUUUCUGUCAAUUAUAACAAUAACAACAUUGUUCUCACCAAGUUCAUCGCUGAGAUCUUGAAGUAAUGAAAGAAACUAGAGUAAAGAAGAGAAAGAAGAGAAGACAGGUUAGCAAAACAAAAGCAUACUGUAAAAUAUCACAUGUAUAGAGGAGCACAGUUUCCCUCACACUUUGUUUGUUUGUCGUUUGUUUAACGUUUUAGUGAUGUCGGCAUGUUUUAAAGGUAUUGUUAUGUACCAAGACGUACAAAGUGAUGAUGCUGUAGCUAAUCAUUUGGAAACUCCACUCCCCCAAACAGCGAACGUCCAAUCACAGUUCAGCGAUCGUAACCAGGUUGUUUGACACAAUAUCAGCAGUUUGUUAGAACUUCAGAUAAUAACAACAGAUCUGGACCAAACAUCCAGAAUGCACCUGUGCUAGAGAGAAACAAUCAAAGUGACCAGCUGCACUGAAUCUACUGAUCCCCCCCCCCCCCCCUCCGAGUGCUAAGAACCCUGGGAGCUACUUUAGUCCUCCUGAAAGCAGCUACGACAAAGCGGCCUGUACAUCGACAGCGCUUAUUACCAGCCGCAGACCAUCGCCACGCCCAUCAUCAUCCACCUGG